rnacentral:lncRNA from 1 species
AUGACUGGUCUACACCAGGCGGCUGUCAUCCAUGUAAGUGCAAAUUCUGGUGAAUUGGGAGAAACCCCCGUCACCACCCACCAGGACAGCGUAUCCAGCACACAGGUUUUGAGGGGAGAGAGAAAUCGGUUGGACUCCUCACUCCACCCACAAAGUCGGCCAACUACAGGACAGUUAGUUAACAUCUCUGAACCGGUUUGCACGCUCACGGAGAUCAAGAGAGUCUCCCCACACGUGAUGCCCUCGCUUUCACUACCUCCCGGGGCUGCAUCAACACGACUGGUCCCCGAAGAGCUCGCCCAGUCGCUGCGCGGGCCGGCAGGGCGGCGUGAAGCCUGGGGCACCGCAGGGACCCCACCCCCGCUUCACCCGAAGGCGCCCCGGCCAGGGUCCGGGUCCGGGUCAGGGUUGCCCGGCGGCUGCACAGGGGCCCACCCGGCUCGAGGCCAGGCUGUGCCCCACUCCCCAGGAGGGUGGCCUGGGCGAGCGGCUCAGCUCCCCCAAGCCACGGGGAGGGGGAGGACCUCAUGCUCCCAGGGCGGUGGGGGUGGACGCGGGGAGACGAGGAGGGGGAGGCCCCCGUGCUCCCGGGGGUGGGGUGGGGCGGGGAGGGGGAGGCCCCCGUGCUCCGGGGGGGGGGGUGUGGGCGCGGGGAGACGGGCUUCCCCCCCACACACCCGGCGCCCCGCGCGCGCCCCGCCGCUCUCCCGGACUCGGGGCUCCAGGACCCACCGGCACCGCAGUCCCUCCGCUUCCCGGGCCGCCUCGCCGCCCGAGCUAGCAGCCGCCUGGCGAGACCGCCCACCUCCGGCCGCGGGCUCCGGAAGCCAUGGCAACAGCUGCGCCGCGCAGGCCUCUCGGAGCACAGGGAGCGUGGCCGCCCCAGGCCCGCGGCCGCCGCGGCGCAUCCGGAACUACAAUCCCCAGAAUGCCUCGCGGGCGGCGUGCUCGCGCUCGGGCGACCGCGCGCCGUGCGCCGUGCGCCGUGCGCCGGUGGGGGGGAGGGGGCGGGCCUCCCGGGCGGGAGUGGUCCAUCCUCCCGGAGCCUCCGCCGCCCUGCGCGGCCCCGCGGGCUCCAGACUCCCAGCGGCGGCCCAGGACGCUGGCUUCCCGAUCUGGAGACCCGUACGUCUACUUGGGGGCGGGCGUCCGUGA